UGGAGGAGGGCAUGGUGACCCACUCCAGUAUUCUUGCCUGGAGAACCCCACGGACAGAGGAGCCUGGCAGACUAGAGUCCAUAGGAUUGCCAAGAGUCGGACACAACUGACGUGACUUAGCACAUACGCACAAGACUCAAAUAAGACCCAGAUGUUGGAACUGUCAGACAAGGGCUUGACAGUCGCUAUGAUGGAAAUGCCAAAGGGUUUCAUAGGAAAGAUGGACAUAUGUGAACAAAUAGGGAAAUUCAUUAGAGAGGUGAAGACUGCAAGGAAGAGUCCAAAAGAAAUUCUAGAAAUAAGCAGCGGCAGCAAUAGGGUAUUCCUUUGACAAGCUCAUCAGUAGAUCUGAUACAGCUGAGCAAAGUCAACGUGAAGAUGGUUAAUAGAAAUUAUCCAAACUGAAACGAAAAGAAAAAAAAACUUUUUUUAAAGGAGAACAUCUAGAGCCCUGGGAUGAUGACUGACAGCCUGACAUGUGUGUCAUCAGGGUCCCAGAGAGAGAAGAGGACUGUGUGUUCAUCCGAGUAGGACAGGAGGACAGCUUCAGUGAAGUGGAGCUGCAAAGCCUUCCCUCCUGCCUCGGAUUUUCCUUUUGACCUCCGGGCUUUGAGCCUUGGGGGUGGGUGAUGGGCAAGGAGAGGGUAGAGAGACAUUCCAGGCCUGAUUUCCUGUAUAUUGGGAAAAGCUGAGUGCUGCAGAGAGGCGGAGAGAGGAAAGCAGACCAAGGAAGGGGAAGUAGCUGAAGCAGAAAGAGGAGAAUCCAGAACAAGCUUAGGACAUUUGAGAUUUGGAGAGAGGAAGUGAAUCCUCAUACGUCAGGAAUACACCUUCAGACACAGAAGUGCUUACAGACCAUCACCUGAUGGCAGACAGGAGUACCUGACCACGGGAAAAGAAUCUGCCUUGGUAGUGCAGGGCACACUGGUUCAAUCCCUGGUCCAGGAAGAUCCCACAUGCCGCGGAGCAACUAAGCCUGUCGGACACAACUGCUCAGCCCAUGUGCAGCAGCUACUGAAGCCUGUGUGCCCUGGAGCCUCUUUCCACAACAAAAGAAGCCACUGCAUUGAGAAGCCUGCACCACACCUAGAGAAGAGCCCUGGCUCUCUGCAACUUAGAGGAAGAUGUACACAGCAACGAGGACCCAGCACAGCCAAAAAUAAACAAACAUUUUUUAUUAAAAAAAAAAAAAAGAAUGAUCCAGUUAGUUUGCUGAAAGUUAAAUCCUCUGCUGACUCAGAAUGGAGGAAAAUACACUUAGAAUCAAUAGUUUUAAUCGGAGAUGCCUGGGCCAGUGCAAGCACUGACCAGGAAACAGUUAAAGUGCGUUUCAGAGCAAAGAUGAGAAGAGGACAGUAAAAGAGAUUUGUGAGAGUUUCAUUAACCAAUAGUAUCUUUUAUUCAUCACCAUGUCUACUGGAUCAAAACUCAUCAGAAAGGAAAACAAUGACUUGAUUUCCCCACCGCACUUCCCCCCUUUCCACCACCCUCCCUAAGGAAAAUGAAAUUACUUACAUGAGGAGGGCUUAUACUUGACACAAAUAAAUGUACCGGUUCUAGAUUA